UGUUGAAAUAAAAUUAAAAUCCAGAAAUUUCAAAAUUAACAAAAACAGUAAGCAUUUUUAAAGCAAGUAAAUGCAUUGUGAAUAAGAUAUUUUUUCUCAUUUGUACCUUGUUUGAAUUAUGAACAUGGUUUAUGUCCAACUACAUUAAUUCGAAUCUAAUUUGGUCAAUGACCAAAAGGGAGCAACCAUAGAAGCCUAAUAGCAAUAUCGAUUUCAACAUCAUGACUCAUGAGGCAACUGGAAAAUGCGUCCGCCGGAGAUACACGGCAUACACGUGAGCUGCGAGAUGAUAGAGAGAAGAGGCAUUACGGCCGAUUGCUUUAUGAUUAUUUCCCGGCAAUUAAGUGAAUUUAUUGGCAAAGGUAAACAUAUACGCACACGCGUCCCAUCCCAGACCCGGGCCGCUCCCAGAUUGUUGCGAUUUGGGAUGCUGUUUAACUAUAUCGAUUGGCAAUCAUCGUCGAGGCGCACACUAGUGCCCUCACCCACACAUCGUAUAGUAUUUCCAUCAAUGCCUUCGAUGAUGGCCUUAUCCGAAAUCAAUUUGUUAAAUGCAAGACUCAGCAGCAGCUACAGUAGCAGGCAUCAGUUUUCUGUUGGGGUCGUUUUCCCAUGGCUCCUACUGAACUUCUCUGGGUUGCCUACGAAAGCAAAGUGUUAACCGAAAAUGAAGUUAGUUCGCCCGGUGUCAGACCCACACAAAGACCCGUCCAGUUGCUAGCCAGUCAGCCCUUCUAACCCUUGAAUGCCUUGGCCACAACUUAUUCCACUUGAGCUGAUUUUCUUGAGCGAUUUACGCACAGCCAAAAACAUAAAACUUCCGCAAUUGCCCCAACAACCUCAGCAAAGAUGCUGGCAGACGCUUAAAGAAGUUAAAGAAGUCUGUCUGUCUAAGCUCCAUCCCUUUCAUUUCCUUUGUCAUCGAUGCGCAGCAAAAAUAACUACAUCGAAUGAACUAAACUUCAACUUAAGUUUCCUGUCAGCAGGUGGUCCAACAAACGCACCAAAACGAAGGAACUCUAAGUCUUUUGUAUCUAACUAAGCGUUCAUCAUUUGACUAAAUCGUAAAUUAUGCUUAUACAUUUGUUCUAUUUGCUGGGCGCCGCCAUCCCCCAGACCAUCCCCACUACCCCUUGGACCCUCGCGAAGUACAUUUUACCUCAUUCACUGACUUCUCAAGCGGAUAUUGAUCAAAAUUUGCUGCAAUUUGCUUGAUUGAUUGAUGGGCGCCAGCACUUACUGCAUAUAUGUAUGUACAAAUGUAUGUAUAUUGUACACUAGCUAUAUCCGGGAGAAUCUUUCUGAAUGAAAUGAAACUCACGGUCUGCAAACAUAAACACUUUGUGUGAAUGAAGCAAAACAUGGAAGUUUGUUAUUCACCAUCGAUCGAUCAAGCAAUCGGGAAUAUGAAAAUCAAUUUGAGCAUCUGUAUUAUGUCAAUUGAUGUGAAAAGUUAUACAGAAAUUCAUAGACAGUAUUUCAGUUAAACAAAUACUACAUUUUGAUUGGGAUCGAUGUAUCUUAUCAAUAAAUUAUAAAUGUGUAUAAUGAUGGCUGUUUUCUAUAUUCUGCGGUUAAAGUUACAUUUUUAAUAGGCUUGAUGCCUUGUUUCUAUUCAUGAUAAAUUGUUAUCGAAAUUUUGGCAUUAGGCAAUUCAACAGUGAACAGAAAUCGGACGAAAAAAAAAAGAAACAGUUUCCCCACCAUUUUUGAUCCAUAAAUAUGCCAACAAGAGAUAAGAAACCCUGGGAGAAGGAAAGGGUGCAAAUAGAAGAAAAUGAAAGAAAGAAACCGAAAUGUAGGAAUUGUACGAGACAAAUUUAUGAGCUUCAUUUAAAAUAUGCCAAGUUUUAGUUCACUUCUGUCUGGGGCGAGUAUCCAUUUUUCGCUUUUGCGAUAUCAGGGGCGGCCGGUUUAAUGGGGAGGGAAGGAGACAUCAUCGUGGUUAAAAAGGCGCUUAAAAGUCAAACAGAGCCCACUGCCAGCGACCAAUGGCUGAAUCGCUGGACGAGUUCCCACUUUCCCGCUAUCCAAUGUCCGCAGCCUGCCACCCGCCAGCAACUUUACAAAAUGUCUGCAAAUUUAUUAAGUUGAAAAAAUUUUAUGAGUUGAA